rnacentral:rRNA from 1 species
UACGGGGGGGGCAAGCGUUGUUCGGAAUUACUGGGCGUAAAGGGCUUGUAGGUGGCCAACUAAGUCAGACGUGAAAUCCCUCGGCUUAACCGGGGAACUGCGUCUGAUACUGGAUGGCUUGAGUGUGGGAGAGGUGAGUGGAAUUCCUAGUGUAGAGGUGAAAUUCGUAGAUAUUAGGAAGAACACCAGUGGCGAAGGCGGCUCACUGGCCCGGUACUGACGCUGAGGCGCGAAAGCGUGGGGAGCAAACAGG